rnacentral:lncRNA from 1 species
AUCCGGCCUCAAAAUUUCCAAAAUUCGAACACAAAAGCCUAGAUCUAAAAAUCUUUAUCCAUAACAAACUUUUCACAUGCAAUUUCAAGCAAGAAACGCGCGGAAAUGGCUUAGAAAGGAAGGAGAAACGCGAUACCUCUGUUGUAGAACGGAGAAAAAAGAUAUUCGGAAAACUUCGAAUCUCUCCUCUUCUCUUUCGCGCGCGCGCUAUAGCCUCAGUUGGUGUUGUUUUUGCUCGAAAAUCCGGUACGAUUUUGGUGUUGAUGUGAUGAUUCGAAGUGGUUUUGAGUGAAUCCGGUUCGGAUUCGUUGAUUUGGUGAUGAUCGGAGUUGGUUUUGAGCAGAUCUGGUUCGGAUCUGUUGAUUUGGUGAUGAUUUGUUCUUGGUGUUCUUCCCUCUUUUCUGAGAUUUUUUGUGUUUGAUUCUGUUAGGAUGAGAGAGAAAAUGAAAUUCUGUUUGUGAGUUGGCACUGAUUUUUUUUUUAUUGAUCUGACACCUUUACUAUUUAUAGCCUGCCAUGUGUAUCUGAGAACCAAUGAAAAAAUGACAUCUGUUUUGGGACUGAUGUGGAUCGAAAAUCUGGACUAAAAUGCCCCUGGAACCUUUCUGCAAAAUAAAAAACUUGAAGGACUGGACAGCAAUUAAAAAUGGACUAAAAUGAAAUUUUUAAAAGUUUUGGAUCAAAACGUGAUUAAAAAUAAAAUUGGACUAAAAAGUAACGAAACGUAAAGCG